rnacentral:rRNA from 1 species
GAUGAACGCUGGCGGCGUGUCUAAUACAUGCAAGUCGAGCGAACAGACGAGGAGCUUGCUCCUCUGACGUUAGCGGCGGACGGGUGAGUAACACGUGGAUAACCUACCUAUAAGACUGGGAUAACUUCGGGAAACCGGAGCUAAUACCGGAUAAUAUAUUGAACCGCAUGGUUCAAUAGUGAAAGACGGUUUUGCUGUCACUUAUAGAUGGAUCCGCGCCGCAUUAGCUAGUUGGUAAGGUAACGGCUUACCAAGGCAACGAUGCGUAGCCGACCUGAGAGGGUGAUCGGCCACACUGGAACUGAGACACGGUCCAGACUCCUACGGGAGGCAGCAGUAGGGAAUCUUCCGCAAUGGGCGAAAGCCUGACGGAGCAACGCCGCGUGAGUGAUGAAGGUCUUCGGAUCGUAAAACUCUGUUAUUAGGGAAGAACAAAUGUGUAAGUAACUAUGCACGUCUUGACGGUACCUAAUCAGAAAGCCACGGCUAACUACGUG